rnacentral:rRNA from 1 species
GUCUUUUUGAGUUAUUUUUAAAGUCUGACCUGCCCACUGAAUAUUUUUAAAUGGCCGCAGUAUUCUAACUGUGCAAAGGUAGCAUAAUCAUUAGUCUUUUAAUUGAAGGCUGGUAUGAACGGUUGGACGAAGUAUAAGCUGUUUCAUAUAAAAUUAUAUUAGAAUUUUAUAUUUUAGUUAAAAAGCUAAAAUAUUAUUAAAAGACGAGAAGACCCUAUAAAUCUUUAUAUUUAAUAUUAUUCAAAUUUUUUUGAUUAAUUUUAUUUUUAUAAUAUUAAAUAUUUUGUUGGGGUGAUAUUAAAAUUUAAUAAACUUUUAAUUUUGAAUUAGAACAUUAAUUUAUGAAUAGUUGAUCCAUUAUUAAUGAUUAUAAGAUUAAGUUACUUUAGGGAUAACAGCGUAAUUUUUUUUGAGAGUUCAUAUCGACAAAAAAGUUUGCGACCUCGAUGUUGGAUUAAGAUAUAUAUUUAGGUGUAGUCGUUUAAAUAUUAAGUCUGUUCGACUUUUAAAUUCUUACUCGAUCUGAGUUCAA